AUGUCACAGUGCUGCGGCCAGCACAGCCCUGGGACAUCACAGCCCUGCCUGACGCCAGCACUCUGCCCCUUUGUGCCAUCACAGCCCUGCCUCGGCCCCGCCCUCCGCAGUGCCCCAGGAGGGAUAAAGGGGCUCCCUAUGGGCACUUGCAAGACCCAGCUCUUUGCCGCUUCCCCGGGAAGAAAAUGGAUCCUAUCCCAUUGAAAGCCAGUACAUUAGCCCAUUCUUCACCCAGCACACCCUGUCUCUAUUUGUCUCACAGCUGGACACCUGCACCAGGUGUAUUCUGCGAGGGACAGGAUCAAAACUCCACUUAAAACCCUGAAAUAGAAUCUGCAUUGCCUUCCCAUCGUCCAUGAGACCGGGUGACCUUCUGUUAGGGUGUGGGAUUCCUUAAAAUCAGAGGGUUUUGGGCACGUUGUAAAAGUCAGACCUCAGAGACAGCAGGAUGGUGAUUUAGAGCUAAGCAGUAGCUAUAAGAUUGGUCAGCAGAAAAAUUAUACAAGAAGUAGAAAGAAAGAACAAAUAGAACUAUGGUCUGUGUAUUAACGUCUGGGUAGAAUAACUUCCUACGUUGCAGAAAAGUAUAUCUGGUGAGAUAUUAGGAAGUUCUAAGAUUAAUAAUGGAGCUAUGUGCAUUGUAUCUUAAGGCUUACAGGCAAGUAUUGUAUUUGAAAUAAGCAAGCAUUGUUUUAACCAAAGGUAUGUGUAUUUAUAGUGAUUGGCUAGAACUACUGUCAAUAUGCUUUUGCUUUGUGUGAUUGGUCAUAAAGUUUAUAAAGUAAGUUGUAACAUGAAGUUCUUGGUCUGUUGCUUGGGAAUGUGAGCUGCUGGCAUCUUCCCAUUGUCAUAACCAUGUAAUGAGACUGAUGCUAAAAAAUAAACAGCUUAAGUCGCAUACCACAGCAGUCCUGUCCAGUUUGUGACUUGUAUAGAGCCCCCGGCCGGCGAUAAUAUAGCAUUCAAUAUUUUUAUACAGCAUGACUUCUCAUUACCUAAUAAAAUGAUUUGUAGAAAUGAAUUGGAAAACAGGAAAUAAACCAAGAAAAAUAUUCAAGCUAUAAAAGAUGUGAGUUUUCUCUCACAGGUCAAGAUUUUCUUUGUAUUUCAGAUGAAAAAUAUUAGGAAGCUAAAUGGUCACCCAUUCUUUUAAAAAGUAUCUGGAUAUCCAAGAGAUAUAAAUUUCGGCAGGACUUGUAUGUCAGGUAUUCCUGAAAACCUUGAUUUCACUGCUGCCCGACCUUGAUUCAAUCCACUUAAAUGCAGCUGUAUUCCAGGUGCUCAGUGAAAUUCUCCAUGGAAUGCAUAUUGUUUAGAAAUCAUCUGCAGAAAAAGCUAGAUACAUCUGAAGAUCUUUUUUUGGGAAUGGCAUUUCAGUUCUUUGUACAAACACACAGAUGGGAUUUCUGCUGUCUUCUUCAGGCCACUUCCUCCAGAGACCUCUCUAUUAAAUCUCUCUAGUUCUACCCUUCUGGUGAUCCAAAGUCAGCACUGGCAUUGUCCAACUGCGUGGAAUUACUGCAUGCUACAGCCGCGCACUGAGGGCUUCUGUGUGCAGCAUCAUGGCAAAUCUGGGAGAAGACAUCUGAAAGGGGACACCCCCAGAAAGCCAACCCACAUGGCCUCUCCCCCCAACCGGUUUGGGAAAAAUUUCCUGGGAGAGAAGUGGAAGAAACCUGUUGAUUUAACAGGCAAAGCACUCCCCAGCACAAAAAAUGAACACUAGCAGAUGACAAAGCUCAUUUGAUGCUCUGAAGAGAUGACAACAAGGUCAGAAAGUCUCUCCUGUGGCUGGUCGCUCUGUUAUCAGUCCCUGCGGCACUUGGAAAGGCUGCUGCCCAGAGUAGGUCACCAAGUAAAAGCUCUCACUGCUCCCCGAGUCCCAGUCCGGGGCAGGUUCAAACAGGUCCAAGAAAAGGGAAAGGAAAAGCAACUGUCCAGGGAAAACUUCUCUGCCUCAGCAGCUAAACUAACUAAAAAGCAAAGAAGUGCUCUCUUCUGCUCCGUCCGUGCCCAGACAGCACAGUCCAGCGCAGAAUGUGGAGGAGUGUUGCUUGUAGAGGAGUGAGUGCAGUCUCUGAUAACCAACUCCGUGCUUUGUCUUCUCCUUGCCUUCACUCUCAGAACCAGUCUUGAAGGCACAGAAUAUAAUAGCCAGCAUCAACAGAACAGACCGCUGGGGAUACAAGCAUCAGAAAGUCACCCUGGGACACUGCUCUAUUGAGAGAUGUCACCAGACUAUGCUAAGACCAAUUUCCAGAAUAAUAUUCAAAUUCUGUAAUCACAGUGGAAAGCUGAGGAGGAAACAUCGUUCACUUCAGUUACCUUGUGGCAUGCCAGUACUUCCUUUCAAUCCCAAUGUUUUUUGGUUUUAAUCCCAUGACAUCACAGGCAUAACUAAACAUCUUUGGAGCAGGAAGGAAGAUAUUAUUCUUCUCAUGAUACUGAUGGGUAAGCUGAAAUGCAAAGCUGCUUAUUCAAAGUGAAGAAGCAAUAAAGUCAAUUGUAAAACUCACCACAGUUUUGUUUACUCCCCUAAAUCCUUACUAUCCCAAAAGACAAGGACAGCUGGAAACACCUUGUGGCUACUUAAUUUUUUCCUAUACCUACAUGGUAGAGGAAGGAAAAAUGAUCCGAAACAAUGGUAAUCCACAACAAAGCAUUCUUGGCAUCACGUUCAGGUCCUGCAUAGCAAGCUCUUCACCUGGUAAAGUUAUUCCAUUGCAACAGUUUGGGGAGUAUCUUAGAGGGCUGGGUUUAAACCAUUAAACCAUCCUGAUGAUUCAGGAAUUCAGUAGCAAUGAGAAAGUUUCCAAGAAGAUAGUAGUAUGCAUGGAUUUGCAUCUAUGACAGACAUAUUUCUACAAGACAGAAGGCUGUACUACAUAUGGGUGAAGUGGCAUCCUGUUGCCACUUUUUUUCUGGUUUUCUGUUUCUUUUGAACUGCUUUCUUACCAGAUUAAUGAGCUGAACUACCUCAAAAAGGAAUCAGGUAAGUGCCCGAUCUUUCAAAAAAAACCCAAAAAACCACAAACAACCCCCCCCCCCAAAAAAAAAAUCAAAUGCAAAAUGGUGAUCUAUAAGUGCAUUUGAAAAUAAAAGAUUUUUCCACUUUUCAUAGAUACAUGGCGUUCUCUAGAAUAAUAUUGCUCCAACGUUUUGUUUUGGCUUUUUAAAAUUCUAAAUUUUAUGGAUUCUUUUUGGCCAUUUUAGUAAUGAGAUUUUUUGAUCUGUUCUUUCAAGCUGAAAUUGAUUCUAGUAGAUAGAAGCACACUGGUAGGUAAAAGUAGACUAGAAAAGAGAACAUUCAGAUAUUCAGACUAGAAAAGACAACAUUCACGUCUUCCCAUGCAAGCAACUGAAGAAAGCAGGCAGGAGAUUGUCAGAUAACAUGUUAUGGGAAUUGAAAAGAAUCUGUCCUUAUUUGAAGCAACUGAGAAACUCACACAAGGAAAUACAGGUCAGACAGAUGAAAGGGUCACAGAUGAUGUCAAAUCAAUACAUUUAAUGUUUGAAUGAAACAAGAUUUCUUGAAGUACAAUCCUAUAGAAGAAAGGUGAAUUUUCAGAAGCAAUUGAGCUGGGUCUGUUUAAACUCAACUGAGGAUUCAGGAGGGCGAUCUUGACAUUAAAAGGAUUUCAAAACAUACAAAUACCAAGCAGAUCUGAAAGAUGUCCCCCUAGAACAGCCGGGCUGGGAGUUGUUCACAGAUGGAAGCAGUUUCAUGGAGGACGGAAUCAGACACGCUGGAUAUGCGGUAACAACAUUCAGUCCAGUGGAAGAGGCAAAAGCAUUGCCACCAAAUACAUCCGCCCAGAAGGCAGAACUGGUUGCUUUAACCAGAGCACUAGAAUUAAGUGAAGGGAAAAAGGCGAACAUAUGGACUGAUUCAAAAUAUGCAUUUGGAGUAGUGCAUGUUCAUGGGGCCCUAUGGAAAGAACGGGGCCUGUUUUUGUCUCAAGGGACGCACAUUAAACACCAAGAUGCAGUUCUGCAGCUGACAGGAGCAGUACAAAAACCUGAACAAGCGGCAAUUACGCACUGUAAAGCACAUCAAUCAGGAAACUCCAAAAUUUGUGAGGGAAAUCGAAAGGCAGAUUGGACAGCUCGACAGGCUGCUCGAAAGGUGCAAACAACAAUGGCAUUGGUCCCUUUAAAACCUAAUGUAUCUCAAUUCCAUUUACCUCCACAGCCGAAAUAUUCAGCAGAAGAUGAGAAAUUGGGGCAUUUACUGAAUGCACAGAAGAAUCCAGAAGGCUGGUAUGUAACUGCACACGGACAGAUAGUGGUACCCCCCUUGGUCAUGAGAGAGGUUCUACAAAUUAAACAUAACGGAUGUCAUUGGGGUGCAGAGGCAUUGGUAAAAUUUCUAAACCUUAUUUGGUCUCAGUACAAAUGUUAACAAUGGCAAAAUCAAUAAUGUCAAAGUGUGAGAUUUGCUUGAAAAAUAACCCAGUGGCUAGACGACAGGCACAACUAGGAAGGGUUCGGGUAGGGAUAGAACCAGGAGAUUAUUGGCAGGUAGAUUUUGUAGAAUUACCAAGAACUCGAGCAUACAAAUAAUUGUUAGCAGGGGCUGAUACAUUUUCUGGAUGGCCAGAAGCCCUUCCCUGUCGCACGACCCAAGCAAAAGAAACAGUUAAGUGGUAACUACAAGAAAUCAUUCCCAGAUUCGGGGUGCCUCUAGGGAUAUCAUCAGAUAGGGAACCCCAUUUCAUAGCCACGGUGGUAAAAGAAGUAAGUAGGUUGCUGGGAAUACCUUGGGCCCUCCACACACCAUGGAGACCCCAGUCAAGGGGACAGGUGGAGAGGAUGAAUCAGACACUAAAAAGGCAGAUCAGUAAAAUAUGUCAAGAAGCCCAACUGCAGUGGCCACAGGCUUUACCAAUAGCAUGGCUGCAUCCACAUCCUAAAUGUAACUGCAGAUGUCGAAUAUGACAUCAAUCAGUUCAAACAAAUAGAGCGUGAAGUACAAGAAGAGCAGAAAGAUUUGACUACGAGCUGGUUAGACAAAGUCUUUAAAGGGUUAGGGUGGAAUGUGAGUCCAUGGAUUAAGUCUACCAUUGAGAGUGUAAUAAUCCUAUUAAUUGUGUUCCUAGUAAUUUGGUUAGUCUACAGUGUCCUAAAAGGAGAAAUACGGAAGAGGACAUCCUGGAACCGGAAAAUAAUCAAGGCACUGACACGGGACCCACACCCGUCAUCCUCUGAUCCUCCAGUCCAUGACAACGUUCACGUCAAUCCUGGAUUUGAAGAACAUCAUGUAUAAACUUAGAAACUAAAGACUGUAUCAAGUGAAAGUAUUUGCACUUAUGAUGAAGU